GCCAGCAUGGCGCAGUGGUUUGAGUAUUGGACUGUGACUCUGGAGGCCAAGGUUCAAUUCCCACCUCUGCCA